AGUGAACGCUGGCGGUAGGCCUAACACAUGCAAGUCGAACGGCAGCACAGUAAGAGCUUGCUCUUACGGGUGGCGAGUGGCGGACGGGUGAGGAAUACAUCGGAAUCUACUUUUUCGUGGGGGAUAACGUAGGGAAACUUACGCUAAUACCGCAUACGACCUACGGGUGAAAGCAGGGGAUCUUCGGACCUUGCGCGAUUGAAUGAGCCGAUGUCGGAUUAGCUAGUUGGCGGGGUAAAGGCCCACCAAGGCGACGAUCCGUAGCUGGUCUGAGAGGAUGGUCAGCCGCACGGGAACUGAGACGCGGUCCAGGCUCCUGCGGGAGGCAGCAGUGGGGAAUAUUGGACAAUGGGCGCAAGCCUGAUCCAGCCGUACCGCGUGGGUGAAGGAGGCCUUCGGGUUGUAAAGCCCUUUUGUUGGGAGAGAAAAGCAGCAGGUUAAUACCCCGCUGUUCUGACGGUACCCAAAGAAUAAGCACCGGCUAACUUCGUG
rnacentral:rRNA from 1 species